UGCCAUAGUAUCAACUUCAACGAAAUGAAAACAGCCUGNGAAUUGAAUUCAGCCAAUCAUUUGAGCAAACCUGAUCACAUGACCUCCUCCGUUGGNACNGUGUAUAUGAACUACUUCCUACGACCUGUGANUCAAUGCAGCAAGUCUUAUUGCAGAAAAGACGACCAGGAAUGUGCGAUGGACAAGGACGGCACGGACUACAAGUGUGUUGCAAAGCAAUGUCAAGAUAUUUUAGUGUUUCCUGGGAAGAGCANGACAGACAAGGCUUUCCUUGAACAUGCAUUUGAGUCACUACCCGCACUCACGAUAGAGUUGUGGAUUCAANUAGAACCNAAAGGCUUGGAUUCGUUAACGGAGCCGACAGCUUUNAGCUAUGCAACGACUUCCAAUGCUAAUAAAAUCGUCAUAUUCACAACAAAAGGCACAGGUUAUGGGUUUAUAUUACACGAUACGAGUAUUGGUAGAAUUCCAGAUGCAACUGUAGCGAACGGUCAAUGGCACCACAUUAGUUUGACAUGGGAGUCCACAGGUGGACAGUAUAACAUAUUUAUCGAUGGAGUCAGCAGGAAAAAGGGCGUGACAGGGGUUGGUCGUCCUAUUGGUAAAGGNAUGCUAAUACUUGGUAAUGAUCAAGACAGUUACAAUGGCGGCUUUUCGCUACCCGAAAGUUAUCAGGGCAACAUUACAAAUGUCAAUGUCUGGAAUAGUACCUUUACACCACAACAAGUGUCAGUCCUGGCCAAGUCAUGUUCCAAGCGUGAAGGCAAUGUNGUCGGUUGGUCGCAGCUGAAAAAUAAUAAAGUAGGAAACAUUGGAUCGCUUUGCACAAUAGCUUGUGNUUGAGGAUGACAAAACCGAAAGUGAAUACGAUGUAAACCCUUAAAUGAAAAGAAGGAUGGGCCAGUGAAGAAAGGAGGAGGGAUAGGGAAGAAUAUAAAAACAAAAACNAAAAGAAACUUCAUCAUCUUUCUAAUGAGAAAAAGAACUAAGAAAGAACCGCNGAACAAUUAAGUUGGUCAGUGUUUUCUAAAUUGGCAGUAAAUAAUGAGGGCAAGGCAAGAACACAAUGAGUCAAACACGGAGCAAAUUAAAUAUGGAAUGCCACCAGGGAUCUACAACG
rnacentral:misc_RNA from 1 species